UAGGGAAUCUUCGGCAAUGGACGAAAGUCUGACCGAGCAACGCCGCGUGAGUGAAGAAGGUUUUCGGAUCGUAAAACUCUGUUGGUAGAGAAGAACGCUGGUGAGAGUGGAAAGCUCAUCAAGUGACGGUAACUACCCAGAAAGGGACGGCUAACUACGUGCCGG
rnacentral:rRNA from 1 species